rnacentral:rRNA from 1 species
AUUGAACGCUGGCGGCAUGCCUUACACAUGCAAGUCGAACGGCAGCACGGGAGCAAUCCUGGUGGCGAGUGGCGAACGGGUGAGUAAUAUAUCGGAACGUGCCCAGUCGUGGGGGAUAACGCAGCGAAAGCUGUGCUAAUACCUCACACGAUCUACGGAUGAAAGCGGGGGAUCGCAAGACCUCGCGCGAUUGGAGAGGCCGAUAUCAGAUUAGCUAGUUGGUGAGGGAAAGGCUGACAAAGGAGACGAUCUGUAGCUGGUCUGAGAGGACGACCAGCCACACUGGAACUGAGACACGGUCCAGACGCCUACGGGAGGCAGCAGUGGGGAAUUGUGGACAAUGGGCGCAAGCCUGAUCCAGCAAUGCCGCGUGCAGGAUGAAGGCCUUCGGGUUGUAAACUGCUUUUGUACGGAGCGAAACGGUCUUUCCUAAUACGAGAGGCUAAUGACGGUACCGUAAGAAUAAGAACCGGCUAACUACGUGCCAGCAGCCGCCGUAA